GCCUCUGUAUAGCUCAGUUGGUUAGAGCGCUGCACCGGAAUCGCAGGGCCGUAGGUUCAAUUCCUACCAGAGGAC
rnacentral:tRNA from 1 species